CAAAAAGUAGCUUAUAAAGCAUUCAGCUUACACCUGAAAGAUGUUCCCUCAAACAGAACCUUUUUGC
rnacentral:tRNA from 1 species